rnacentral:lncRNA from 1 species
CUUUGUGACUGGGGAACCUGAGAGCAACAGGAAUGGUGUGGCAGGAUCUGCUAUUGGCUGAGUUUGAUAGAUCAGAACAGUACAGCCAUGAACCAAACCAAUCAAGGUGGAGUACUGCAUUUAAUAAUAUUAGUUUAAGAAAACAAAGUCAAACCUGAGGUUUUUUUCUAUGUCCACAAAUCAAGUAUGAACAGCUGUGAUCUGACUGAAGG